rnacentral:rRNA from 1 species
AUUGAACGCUGGCGGCAGGCCUAACACAUGCAAGUCGAACGAGUGGCGGACGGGUGAGUAAUGUCUGGGAAACUGCCCGAUGGAGGGGGAUAAAUACUGGAAAAGGUAGCUAAUACCGCAUACCAUCGGAUGUGCCCAGAUGGGAUUAGCUAGUAGGUGGGGUAAUGGCUAACCUAGGCGACGAUCCCUAGCUGGUCUGAGAGGAUGACCAGCAACAAGGGAACUGAGAAACGGUCCAGACUCCUAGGGGAGGCAGCAGUGGGGAAUAUUGCACAAUGGGCGCAAGCCUGAUGCAGCCAUGCCGCGUGUAUGAAGCAGGCCUUCGGGUUGUAAAGUACUUUCAGCGGGGAGGCGUUACCCGCAGAAGAAGCACCGGCUAACUCCGUGCCAGCAGCCGCGGUAAUUC